AUUGAACGCUGGCGGCAUGCCUUACACAUGCAAGUCGAACGGUAACGGGCCUUCGGGUGCCGACGAGUGGCGAACGGGUGAGUAAUGUAUCGGAACGUACCUUUCAGUGGGGGAUAACGUAGCGAAAGUUACGCUAAUACCGCAUAUUCUGUGAGCAGGAAAGCAGGGGAUCGCAAGACCUUGCGCUGAUUGAGCGGCCGAUAUCAGAUUAGCUAGUUGGUGAGGUAAAGGCUCACCAAGGCGACGAUCUGUAGCGGGUCUGAGAGGAUGAUCCGCCACACUGGAACUGAGACACGGUCCAGACUCCUACGGGAGGCAGCAGUGGGGAAUUUUGGACAAUGGGGGCAACCCUGAUCCAGCCAUGCCGCGUGAGUGAAGAAGGCCUUCGGUUGUAAACUGCUUUUGUACGGAACGAAAGGACUUUCUCUAAUACAGGGGGCGUCAUGACGGUACCGUAAGAAUAAGCACCGGCUAACUACGUGCCAGCAGCCGCGGUAAU
rnacentral:rRNA from 1 species